GCAGAGAUGGCUCAGUGGUUAGAGCACUGGCUGCUCUUCCAGAGGACCUAGGUUCAAUUCCCAGCACCUAUA
rnacentral:tRNA from 1 species